rnacentral:lncRNA from 12 species
AAUCUGUGGGCAAAACAGCCUGAGACAACCGUCUGGAAACUGGGGUCAGAACUGAAGGUGGCAUCGGUGGCUGGGGACCUGAGGUGGCCUGAGAUUUUUGUCUGUGGCAGAAAGAACUGGCAAGUCUCUCAGUGAUGACGUGUUUCGUGAGGGACAAGGGCAGAAGGAAGAGCCUGGAAUCCUGGAGCCCAGAAAACCCAGUUCCAGGAGGCGAGGAACUCCUGGGAUGCAGUAGGAGCAUCUUUAGGAGGCAAGAAGCAGCGCGGCUCCUCAGGACUCGGAGGAAGAAGGAGAGAGGCUCCCAGCAGGACCCAGCAGGCCGGCUGGAGGCAGAGCUCCACAGCCACCUGCAGGAUGGGAGCUGGCUUGCAGGGCCAGGCUCUGCCAGAGCUUGGAGAGCAUCUGAGAAAGGAGUCAGCCCAGACGCUGAUUGCCAGUUAAGUCUACCUCCCGCAAGGGCAAGUGUACUUGGCCAGGAGACCAUGCCCUCCCAGCUCCUAAGGAUGAAUUUUCCAUCCUUGAAUUACUUUUCCUUCCCCCCCCCCCUUUUUUUUUAUUUAAAUAAGUAAGAUCCACCCUGUGUGUGGAGCCCAACACGGGUCUUGAAUUCCCAACCCUGACAUCAAGACCCGAGCUGAGAUCAAGAGUCGAACACUUAACCCACUGAGCCACCCAGGCACCCCUCCAAGGUUGACUUUCUGGUGUCAGCUGGAGGGGAGAACAUAUCCUUAUGUACAAUUCCUCCAGUCACUCCCAGUAGAAAGCUUUUCUGGGUUCUAUUUUUGCAGCCUUUGCCCUGCCCAGUUUUGGGGGACCACUCUAGAGUCCUUUAUAACCCCUGGUGUCACAGCAUGGGGUGGGGGCGGUGGUCCUGGGCUGACCUAGGCUCUCAGCAGCCCAGGCCAGCAGCGGGGAGGGGAUGGAACCGAGCUGGUGGGCCCGGGAGUGGGAAGUCAGGAGAAGAGCAGGCCAGAGCCCACGUCCUGGGGGUCCUGGGGAAGGAUGAGGGUCAGCGGAGAGGAGCAGAAUAAAUCAAAACCCUGUUUUUACGGGUACA